UUACGGCGAUAUCAUGUUGAAACACCGUUUCUCAUACGAUCACCAAAGUUAAGCAAAGUUGGACGUGCUCAGUACCUAGAUGGGUAAACACUUGAGAAUGUCAGUUACUGUA